UGUAUUCUCUAGUGCACAUGCGACUUAUUUCUGCGAGGAGGCAUUUCCCGCAACACCGCCUGCACGUGAGAGGGGGAGUGUCCGUGUUGUGAACGAGAAGAGACACCUAAGUUGUUGUUCUGUGUCAAGGUUCUCUGGUCUAAGUGGUUUGUGGCGUUAUAAAUACUACAUGCGCGUCAAAACACAUUAACACACUGCUGCAAGACAUGGCGGAUAACAACAACAACACUGAAUCAUCUUAUCCCUCCACUCGGCUCGUCUCCUCGCCUCGCCUCAGUCGCCGCGGAAGUCCACCGCUGUUCAGCCGCGGACACAGCCACCACAUGUCAAGAUCACUUUGUCUGUCUGUCUGCCUGUCACCCGUUCCAUCACGUCCUCGCCGGCCACCACAACACACCUGGCCACACCUGAGCAGACCCGCAACACUAAUUAACGCGCUGCAGCCACCGCCAGGAUAUGACAGGUGGCUGGUCUGGAGGUGGAGUCCAUCCUACAUCAGUGGGCGAAGGUUUUAAGGUGAGGCACAAGGUAAUCAGGUCGAGCCGGCAGGUGAUGCAGAACGCGGCGCCUCUUGCUGCCAGUUUCCCCGCGUCACACGCCAUGCAUUUCGCCUCUGGUACUAGCAGGCAAGGUGAGGCCCAAGGCGAGCUGCUGGCAACGGUCAAUCCAUGUUCCAGCAAGUGUCCAACAUUCUUCUUCAUUUCAUCACGGGAAGUGAUUCGACAGCGUCCGCAGUGGCGGAUCUAGAAAAAUUUUGGGGGGGCAUUAGGCACUCGGCUCGCAACCGAAAUUUCUCGGUUGAAAAGAGAUUUUGGGUUCUCUUCCCGGGCAGAGUGAGAGUUAAAAUGGGCUUCCUCUCUUUACACCCCAGCCCCUGCGUCUCCGUAGCUGAGUGGUUUCUGUGACCGCCUACCGCUCCUCGCCGUCCUCGGGGCACCGUUUGGAGCCCGAUUAGGUGCCUUCGGCGCACAGCCCACACAGCUAUUACUCUUGAUCAUCCUUCCUUUCGGGUUGGUCGAUAAACGGGUACCAAGUGAAACUUGGGGAAGGUAAAUUAUGGGAAUCAGGAUGACAUAGGGCCAAGUGUCCACGGGCUAGUGGAUACGAGUCACCACGGGCUCAAGAAAGCGGAAAUGAGCAUCAAUGCAACGCGCAGCAGUAUCCUAUGCUCCCCACUUCACCUACGAGGACUACUUAAUUAGACAGACAUUAUAGGCUAGUCUCUCGGUUAGUAAUUUUCCCCAUCCCAGCCUGUCCUCCAUAUUGUAAUUCUAAAUAGGUUAGGUUACAAGAGGAGCUUCAUCAGCUUUUUUUGUGAAAUUAAAUGAGAAAAUGAGAAAGUAUUUGCUCUUGGGUUUACUUACACUUGAUGUAAUUUGUAUUAGCAAUCCUUUCGUAAAUAGAAUAAAAACAAAUGAAAAAUUCUUUGUCAAGUGUUGUGCCACAGUAAUGUAUUAGAUGAC